GGACUACCGGGGUAUCUAAUCCUGUUCGCUCCCCACGCUUUCGUACCUGAGCGUCAGGUGUGGCCCAGCAAGCUGCCUUCGCCAUUGGUGUUCCUCGUAAUAUCUACGCAUUUCACUGCUACACUACGAAUUCCACUUGCCUCUGCCAUCCUCUAGCCCGCCAGUAUGAGAUGCAGCUUGACGGUUGAGCCGCCAGAUUUCACAUCUCACUUAACGAGCCGCCUACGCACGCUUUACGCCCAGUAAUUCCGGAUAACGCUUGGACCCUACGUAUUACCGCGGCUGCUGGCAC
rnacentral:rRNA from 1 species